rnacentral:rRNA from 1 species
UGGGGAAUAUUGGNUAAUGGGCGAAAGCCUGAUCCAGCCAUGCCGCGUGUGUGAAGAAGGCCUUUUGGUUGUAAAGCACUUUAAGUGGGGAGGAAAAGCUUAUGGUUAAUACCCAUAAGCCCUGACGUUACCCACAGAAUAAGCACCGGCUAACUCUGUGCCAGCAGCCGCGGUAAUACAGAGGGUGCAAGCGUUAAUCGGAAUUACUGGGCGUAAAGCGCGCGUAGGUGGUUAUUUAAGUCAGAUGUGAAAGCCCCGGGCUUAACCUGGGAAUUGCAUUUCAGACUGGGUAACUAGAGCACUUUAGGGAGGGGUAGAAUUCCACGUGUAGCGGUGAAAUGCGUAGAGAUCUGGAGGAAUACCGAUGGCGAAGGCAGCUCCCUGGCAUCAUACUGACACUGAGGUGCGAAAGCGUGGGUAGCAAACAGGAUUAGAUACCCUGGUAGUCCACGCCGUAAACGAUGUCUACCAGUCGUUGGGUCUUUUAAAGACUUAGUGACGCAGUUAACGCAAUAAGUAGACCGCCUGGGGAGUACGGCCGCAAGGUUA